rnacentral:lncRNA from 1 species
GGACAAAGAAGUGAGUGAUUCCAAUUUCAGUAAGAGCCACGAAGCUAAGAGCCACAGGUUGUUGUGCCACAGAAUCAUGACUGCAUAUAGGUUUGUGUUUGGGAAAUCUGAUUUACAUGGGCUUGUCAGAGAAGGCCUCUCUGGGGAGACAGUGUUGAAGUGAUGACUGAAGGAUGAUAAGAACUAGUUCUUUGCAGAGUGAAGGAGGCGGAGGAGGAGGAGGUCAGCAUAUGCAAGGAUCUGAGGCAAGAAAGAGUUUAGUUACUCAAGGAACUUAAGAAAGCUCCAAGGGGCUGGAGUGUGGAGAGGGUGUUAAAGGGAGAGGCCAAAUCACGAAGGGCUUUGCAAGCCACUUAAAGUUUGAGCUUUCCUCUAAAAGCAAAAGGAAAUUUUGAACUAAAGGCAUUUAAGCAGAAAUGCAGAUGUGUGUGUGUGUGUGUGAGAGAGAGAGAGAGAGAGAGGGAGGGAGGGAGGGAGAGAAAGGGAGGGAGAGAGAGAGAGAGUGAGCAUGGAGAGGUUUCAAUCUUAGAGAGGUUGCCCUGGCAGCAGUGUGAAGGGUGGUUUAUGUGACCAGCCCUGUGAAGGCUGCAUGGUGGGAGCCUGCGGAGGAGGUGGUGGUGAGCACAUGGUGGGAGCCUGCGGAGGAGGUGGUGGUGAGCACAGCUGUCUGGUCAGAACUUUUGUUCUGUUGUAGGUGAAGUGAGAGCCCUGCAUAGAGCUCGUGGUGUGGUGUGCCCACCUGGAGGGUGGGGCUUGUGGGGAAGAAGCUCAAGGCGAAAAUAAAGAACUGUUUCAGGAAGGAGUAAGCACCUCAGAUUCGGAGCCACUGGUCCCCCUCAAUGUCUUGCUGUCUCCUCUGGGGACCUGGAAAGUCACCUGACACUAGAGACACUAGACACCGGGAAGAGGGGAGGGAAGAGAAGCUCUAUUUGGAGGAGGCACCUGAGAAGAUGAUAGAAUGUGGAAAUAUUCCCAUACCACCAAUCCUUCAUGACAGGAAGAGGCAGGUAGAAAGCAAAAGCCUGGAGGACAUCACAGCUCUUGCCCCCUUCAAGUUUCAUUUUUUAAAGAGGAAGCAGAGAAGACCAGCUUCAUCUUGUUUCUGGAGAAGGUUUGCUUCUGAAUUGCUUCCACUGCUGCUGGUUAUGGAUGCUAAGAGUGAGUUGAUGGUCUAAGCUCCUUCUGGAGCUCUGAUGUCUGCUGUAACCUUGUGGAUGCUUGGAACGCUCACGGCCGGUGAGGCCUCCCUUGUGGACCACGCCUUGGUCCCCAGUGCUGGCUCUCGAGCUGCUGUCAGGUCUGCCCUGUUCCUACACACUGCUGACCAGCUUUGGGUUCUCAAUGGCCUGACUGGGGGUUCGGCCAGAUGUAUUGGAGCAACGUGGGGGAGUGAGCCAACACCCCCUUCGCCCUUCACAAUGUUCUCCUGAGGAUGAGAAACAACUAAAAAGAAAGCCUGAUCCACGUCAAGGCUUCUGGCAGAGAGGGAUGUGUCUGUUCUUCCUAACAGCAGACAGAGUUUUAAAUUAGGAUGAAAACAACUGUGUCUAGUUCCCAGUUAAGACACUGACACUUGAAGAUUUAUAUAGACCAGGGUUCCUUAAUUGGGGAUGUACAUUAGUUUCGCAUGGAAACAUUUUUCAGUAUAUUCUGACGUAGGCCCCUCUCUAUGCCCACUGAGUCAGAAUCUCCAUGCAGGCCUCAUCUUCAGAAGAUGUUGCUGGGGGAUGCUGACAGAUUUCUCUGUUCAGAGUCAUUGGUCUAGGAAGAAUGAUCCGGAGCUGGUUGGAGGCUGCAGUGUCAUGCUCUUCAGGCAUUUCAUCUCCCAGGGCCUCGUUGUUUUGUAGGGCAGCAGGGUGUCACUCAGGAUGCUAGUUAUAGCGAGUGAAGGUAGGUGGCUGAAUGCUCAGAAGAAUGAGUGAGUGUCCAAUGAGUGAGUGUCCAAGUUGUGUUUUUCUUCACUGUGUGGGUGAGCACAGUCAGGUGCCUUCCUGGGGUGAAGGUGGUGCUAAGAGCCUGGGGUUGGGGAUAGGCAGCCCGGUCACAAUCCUGGCUCUGGUAUUAGUUAGCCAAGACACUGGGAGGCACUUGCUUGAUUUCUCUAGGCUUGCAUCUUCUUGCUAGGAAGAUUAGACUGGGUAAUAUGUAAGGACCUCUGAAGUUCUAGGCUACUUGGAGGUCAACUUAAAACAUUUUUAAAAGUAUCAUACAAGUGACCUAUUCUCAUUCUAGAAAACCGUGAAACAUUGGAGUAAGCAAAAAGAAAAGAAAAACCCCAUUAUCCCACGACCCUGCCUCCCAGAGAACCUUUAGAUGUGAAUUCUUUCUUUUAGUCCUUGUGCAAAGAUAAAGACACAGAUACGCAUGUGAGCACAUAAAUGUAAAAACAUGCAUUUUAGUAUAAUAUGUAUUUUACAAAAAGGUGAUUGUAUACUAUAUAUGAUCUUGUAAUCUAUCUUUUAAGUGAACCUAUAAGGAACAUGGGAACUCCUUUCCAUGCCACUAAAUGUACAUUGGACACCUUUAACAUGGGGGCAGAUAGCUUUGUGACCUAGGGCCUGGCCUUGGGGACUGCCUCUGGUUCAGCCACUUCCUAGCUGUGCAACCUUGAGCAAGUUACUUCAUCUCUCUAAAUCAUAAUUUCCCUCCAUGGAAAAUGGCUGUAAUAGUAAUGCCUACUUUAUAA